rnacentral:rRNA from 1 species
GAUGAACGCUGGCGGCGUGCCUAAUACAUGCAAGUCGAGCGAACAGAUGAGGAGCUUGCUCCUCUGACGUUAGCGGCGGACGGGUGAGUAACACGUGGAUAACCUACCUAUAAGACUGGGAUAACUUCGGGAAACCGGAGCUAAUACCGGAUAAUAUAUUGAACCGCAUGGUUCAAUAGUGAAAGACGGUUUUGCUGUCACUUAUAGAUGGAUCCGCGCCGCAUUAGCUAGUUGGUAAGGUAACGGCUUACCAAGGCAACGAUGCGUAGCCGACCUGAGAGGGUGAUCGGCCACACUGGAACUGAGACACGGUCCAGACUCCUACGGGAGGCAGCAGUGGGGAAUCUUCCGCAAUGGGCGAAAGCCUGACGGAGCAACGCCGCGUGAGUGAUGAAGGUCUUCGGAUCGUAAAACUCUGUUAUUAGGGAAGAACAAAUGUGUAAGUAAGUAUGCACGUCUUGACGGUACCUAAUCAGAAAGCCACGGCUAACUACGUG